rnacentral:rRNA from 1 species
AUUGAACGCUGGCGGCAUGCCUUACACAUGCAAGUCGAACGGCAGCACGGGGGCAACCCUGGUGGCGAGUGGCGAACGGGUGAGUAAAGCAUCGGAACGUACCCGGAAGUGGGGGAUAACGUAGCGAAAGUUACGCUAAUACCGCAUAUUCUGUGAGCAGGAAAGCAGGGGAUCGCAAGACCUUGCGCUUUCGGAGCGGCCGAUGUCGGAUUAGCUAGUUGGUGGGGUAAAGGCCUACCAAGGCGACGAUCCGUAGCGGGUCUGAGAGGAUGAUCCGCCACACUGGGACUGAGACACGGCCCAGACUCCUACGGGAGGCAGCAGUGGGGAAUUUUGGACAAUGGGGGCAACCCUGAUCCAGCCAUGCCGCGUGAGUGAAGAAGGCCUUCGGGUUGUAAAGCUCUUUCGGCCGGGAAGAAAUCGCACGGGAUAAUACCCCGUGUGGAUGACGGUACCGGAAUAAGAAGCACCGGCUAACUACGUGCCAGCCGCCGCAGUAAUAC